UAUAGGACGCUGACACCUGAGCCAAAUGAGACGAAAGCUAAUGUGAAAAAUCACCCUCAUUUUGUGCCUCAGUUUUGGUAAAUAAAACCCUUAAUCCUCUUCCUGCUGAAACCUUUCUAUGUCGCGCAAGAAAUAGUUGCUGAGCUUAUAAAACACAGACAUUCAAAAUGACCCGGGAUUACUGAGUUCAUCUAGAUGAAGAGAUGGAAUCAGUGCCUGGUUUUAAGGGGAAAAGUGCUCCUGAAGCCCCAGCUGUGGUUCCUGACACUCAUUUCAGACAGCUCGCCACCUGGAGCUCCAAGACCAAGAACACCGGUACCUUUGCAGACACCCACACUUUUGCAGCAUACUUAUAGACAGACAAUGAAGCAAAAUAACAUAUAAUAAGUGGAAUGAGCUUUGUUUCUAGUUUCCGUGGAAUGGCAGGCCUGACUCCCACAAUAACUACCCAUCAUUGGGAAUGAACGCCGAAACAAAACACACUGGUGUUUCAUUUCUCUAUAGUUGUAAGAUGGAACUGAAUGAAGGUGGAGAAGAGAAGCACAAAAGCAAGGAGCCUACAAUAGAAACAGUACUGGAAAAGAGGAACAGCAUCCAGUGAUCAUGGAGUUAGCUGUGUACAGCAUGAUUCCAGCAGGCCCUUUUCCUGUAAGCAGUUCUGGCAGAACGGAGCACAUGUGCUGAGCUGCGCACCUCCCUCAUAUGUAUACUGUGUGUACCAGGAGACAGUGAGAGAAGGAGAACACAAGAUGGUUUUGUGCUUCCAGCAUGGAAACCAUUAACUUGGUUUUUCUUUGUAAGACUAAGCAAGUUAUUUAAACUCAUGGAAUUUAAUGGUCUCCGCACUUAAGAACUGGCCACCUUACAAGAUAAUUUUGUUAAGUGAAGUAUUAACAUAAUGUAGUAAUCUCAUCUUAAACAUAACUUUCUUGUUAUAUUUAAUAAUAUUGAAUCCACUCAUUAAUUAGUAUGUGAUCAGCACUUAUAUUUUCAAAAUGCUUUUAUUCACCAACUCUUUAUUUCAAAACAUCAAAAAAACCAAGGAGGUAAAAACAUGAGAUAUCUCUGUUGAAGUUUAUAAUGUACAAAGACUUAAUGUAUUUUGC